rnacentral:rRNA from 1 species
GUGAACGCUGGCGGUAGGCCUAACACAUGCAAGUCGCACGGCAGCACAGUAAGAGCUUGCUCUUACGGGUGGCGAGUGGCGGACGGGUGAGGAAUACAUCGGAAUCUACUUUUUCGUGGGGGAUAACGUAGGGAAACUUACGCUAAUACCGCAUACGACCUACGGGUGAAAGCAGGGGAUCUUCGGACCUCGCGCGAUUGAAUGAGCCGAUGUCGGAUUAGCUAGUUGGCGGGGUAAAGGCCCACCAAGGCGACGAUCCGUAGCUGGUCUGAGAGGAUGAUCAGCCACACUGGAACUGAGACACGGUCCAGACUCCUACGGGAGGCAGCAGUGGGGAAUAUUGGACAAUGGGCGCAAGCCUGAUCCAGCCAUACCGCGUGGGUGAAGAAGGCCUUCGGGUUGUAAAGCCCUUUUGUUGGGAAAGAAAAGCAGCAGGUUAAUACCCCGCUGUUCUGACGGUACCCAAAGAAUAAGCACCGGCUAACUUCGUG